GAGGUGGACACCGGAUACGGCUACGGCGGGUAUCCUGAGGAUAUGCCCAUGAAUGGCAUGCCCAUGGAGGGUGAUAUGAUUGAUGACUAUCCCCCCAGCAUGCCCUACCAGUACAACGAGCCCUACUAACAGAUGUGUGAAGAUGAACGGAGAGAUGAGAAGAGCAUGGAGAGAGGGAUCUGCUGAACGAGGGAGGAAGCGUGAGGACGGAGUGGAAGAAAUGCGCCAUUCCUCGUCUUCACCGCUGUAACACGACUCUGAUGUGACGCUCUGUUCUGUUCUGCUCUGCGCUGCGGACGUUAAAUGUUCCUCAACCUAAUGGAUCAUUCUGUGGAGCAAUCACCUGUGUCAAAAUGUGCUGCUGUUCCUGAAGAGGGCCCCAGAGGACUGGAUGUGAAUUACAGAGACCUGAUUGGUCACACCACUGCAUGAUACAAAUGAACACACAAAAAACAUGUUGAUUUGAUUAAAGUAUUUCUCCAGUCAUCUGAAUUUGAGGUGUGGUAGUCAUUUGUUGAUAGGCCUUUCUUUCUUUCAUUCUCAAUGUAACUGUUAAUUUCACAGCUGAUUCAAAUCCCAUGUGUACUUUUGUUUUGUCAUGUGCUCACAG
ensembl:lncRNA